AGAACGAACGCUGGCGGCAUGCCUAACACAUGCAAGUCGAACGAGACCUUCGGGUCUAGUGGCGCACGGGUGCGUAACGCGUGGGAAUCUGCCCUUGGGUUCGGAAUAACACAGAGAAAUUUGUGCUAAUACCGGAUGAUGUCUUCGGACCAAAGAUUUAUCGCCCAAGGAUGAGCCCGCGUAGGAUUAGGUAGUUGGUGGGGUAAUGGCCUACCAAGCCGACGAUCCUUAGCUGGUCUGAGAGGAUGAUCAGCCACACUGGGACUGAGACACGGCCCAGACUCCUACGGGAGGCAGCAGUGGGAAUAUUGGACAAUGGGCGAAAGCCUGAUCCAGCAAUGCCGCGUGAGUGAUGAAGGCCUUAGGGUUGUAAAGCUCUUUACCAGGAUGAUAAUGACAGUACCUGGAGAAUAAGCUCCGCUAACUCCGCGCCAGCAGCCGC
rnacentral:rRNA from 1 species